UACGUAGGGUGCAAGCGUUAAUCGGAAUUACUGGGCGUAAAGCGUGCGCAGGCGGCUUUGCAAGACAGAUGUGAAAUCCCCGGGCUUAACCUGGGAACUGCAUUUGUGACUGCAUGGCUGGAGUGCGGCAGAGGGGGAUGGAAUUCCGCGUGUAGCAGUGAAAUGCGUAGAUAUGCGGAGGAACACCGAUGGCGAAGGCAGGUCUCUGGGCUAUAACUGACGCUCAUGCACGAAAGCGUGGGGAGCAAACAGG
rnacentral:rRNA from 1 species